AGGGGGGAAAACCUUGUCAUUGCCGUCACUUCAUCUACUGAAUCUUUUCACUGAAGACUGAAGCCACUAAACAUUGGAAGUCGAACUGGAUUGCAAAGAAUAUCAUCAUGAAUUCUAAAUUUAUAAUUUGCUUGUUUCUUGUGAUUUUUACUGUCUCGAAUGCAAACCUGUUGAACCGUCGCGUGAACUCAGACCUUCAAGCUCAGUGCGACGGUGCAGGCUUUAAUUGUUGUGAUACCUGUCCUACAGGAGAUGUUGUGCCUGGAUUGUCAUGCGAUGAUAGUAAACUUUGCUGCUUGGUACCCUGCGCAAAGUAAAAGAUAACGAAAUUGCUUAAAGUUGACGUGGAAAGUAGGGUUAUAUAGAAAGGUGGACAAAUAUCUUCAGGCCUAUAAUAUUAUAUGCCAUGCAUGAUUAUUUGAAUUAGUUGAAACUGGAUUAGAACUUCAAUAAAGAUUGGAACAUCUA